rnacentral:rRNA from 1 species
AACGAACGCUGGCGGCAGGCCUAACACAUGCAAGUCGAGCGAGCAUUUCGGUGCUAGCGGCGGACGGGUGAGUAACGCGUGGGAACGUGCCCUUUUCUGCGGAAUAGUCCUGGGAAACUGGGGGUAAUACCGCAUACGCCCUUUUGGGGAAAGAUUUAUCGGAGAAGGAUCGGCCCGCGUUGGAUUAGGUAGUUGGUGGGGUAAUGGCCCACCAAGCCGACGAUCCAUAGCUGGUUUGAGAGGAUGAUCAGCCACACUGGGACUGAGACACGGCCCAGACUCCUACGGGAGGCAGCAGUGGGGAAUCUUAGACAAUGGGGGCAACCCUGAUCUAGCCAUGCCGCGUGAGUGAGGAAGGCCUUAGGGUUGUAAAGCUCUUUCAGCUGGGAAGAUAAUGACGGUACCAGCAGAAGAAGCCCCGGCUAACUCCGUGC